rnacentral:rRNA from 1 species
GCGACAGAGGAGCGUUCGCUCCUUGGGUGACGAGUGGCGGACGGGUGGAGUAAUGUCUGGGAGUCUGCCCGAUAGAGGGGAGUAACCGACCUGGAAACGGUAGGCUAAUACCGCCGAUAACGUACGCAAGACCGAAACGAGGGGGACCGUUCGGGCCGUCUCACUAUCGGAGUGAACCCAGAUGGGAUUAGCUAGUAGGCGGGGUAAUGGCCCACCUAGGCGACGAUCCCUAGCUGGUCUGAGAGGAUGACCAGCCACACUGGAACUGAGACACGGUCCAGACUCCUACGGGAGGCAGCAGUGGGGAAUAUUGCACAAUGGGCGCAAGCCUGAUGCAGCCAUGCCGCGUGUAUGAAGAAGGCCUUCGGGUUGUAAAGUACUUUCAGCGGGGAGGAAGGCGACAGGGUUAAUAACUCUGUCGAUUGACGUUACCCGCAGAAGAAGCACCGGCUAACUCCGUG